UACGUAGGGGCAAGCGUUUGUCCGGAUUUACUGGGCGUAAAGAGCGUGUAGGCGGCCAAACAGGUCCGUUGUGAAAACUGGAGGCUCAACUUCCAGACGUCGACGGAAACCGUGUGGCUAGAGUCCGGAAGAGGAGAGUGGAAUUCCUGGUGUAGCGGUGAAAUGCGCAGAUAUCAGGAGGAACACCGGUGGCGAAGGCGGAUCUCUGGGCCUGUUCUGACGCUGAGGCGCGAAAGCUAGGGGAGCGAACAGG
rnacentral:rRNA from 1 species